rnacentral:lncRNA from 10 species
GGAGGUUUCACAUUUACUCACAACUUGGAAUUUCUAAGCAAAUUUUCACAACGCAAGGCAGCCGUACAUUCUGUGUACCUAACACUUUGUGCUUUCUCAUCUUGCUUGAUCAUUCAGGAAGCAGGUGGUCCAUUCUUUUGGCUCUAAAUAUUUUGCAUGUGAAGGGCAUAGGUAGGUGCACCACUUUGGAGAUUGUUAGCUGUGUCUGGUUCCGGGUGUCAGUUAGGCACAAAUUAGUAAGGCUGGAGGGGUUAAGAGUUGCAGAGAAGUCUGACGUGAUGGAUAAGUUAAGGAAGAGUCCUAAGAGGCCAGAAGUGAUAGAGCCCUAAAAACCAGAAUGGGCUGGUCAUGGCAUGGCAGAAGCUGACUUAUUUUUUAUCUCAUACAGAAUGGGUGUCUACUAGUUCAGUCUGUGCUUAUUUAUUAACAAAAUUAUUCACAGCAAUUCUCAGAGUCCUUCAUCAAAUUCAGUCUGCUCUUGAAUAUUCAGAAGAGAUUCUUUCUGAAUAAUGCACAAUAACUUUCUUUUUUUUUCCGAGAGGCUCCAAUGUGUCCACGCUUCUUUUUUCCCCCUUAUUUUAGUUUAAUAUAGGGUUUUCUCAGAUUUUUUUCCUAUAAUAGUUUACUAUUUUCCUAAAUCUUUCCAUUUUGUCAUCAAAUUCAACUAUUUCUCACCUCAUUCAUCUUACAGGUUGUUAAUAAAUAUACCAGAGAAUAAUGGUCCUGCUAUUGAUGGAUCCCAAGGGAGAAUUCCUAUUAAUCACUUCAAUCUUAGGAAUGAGAAGACGGCUGUCUAUGAGGAA